GUAGAAUUUUAGUUGUUUUUUGUAGUACCAUCACAUUGCUUAAAUGCAAAACGCACGUGCGCUGUUGUCAGUGGGUCAGUAAGGUUUGACGUUUGUUUCCAAUUCGAAAAUUCAGGUCUACACUAUCUAUACAGGAACCAAGGUCCGAAUUUUCGCUACUGCCCAGUGAUCACACGCGGCUGGUGAUUCUUUUGUGAAAAAGCCUAAUCUCUCACAUUUUUGUAUCCGUUAAGACUCAAAAUCAUGUCCAGGAACCAAAUUCUUUCCAUGAAAUGAUUAAAAUGGAAGCAGAGGACAGU